rnacentral:rRNA from 1 species
CAGUCGUACUGGCGGGCAAUCAGCCUUUUGGGUGUGAUUAUGUGGGGCGUGAGGAGUUAAUCACCCUCAUCUUUACAUAUUCGUGCACUUUGGGUGUAUUUGCUCGUGUGGUAGGUUAACAUCAAUUUUGAUCGUCAUAAAAUGAAAGGGAAACGAUUGAAGUGUUAUAGACUCUGGUAGAUGUGAUGAUCGGGAUUGAGGAUUGCAACGGAUACCCUUCGGGGCUACCCGUCUGAUCUCUGAGAGUUACUCUGGUGCCGAAAGCGUGCUUACGGUAUCAAAGUUGACGUUCAAUAGGUUAGAACGGGUUAAA